CUACAGAGAGUCAUAAACGGGGCUGGGAAGAACUGAGUACAGGGAAGUGGGAUAAAAGUUUGACGUGAUCAGACAGUAGAUCAGAGACUGUUUCACCCGGAGCCGGCUUAUUCUCAGGAGGGCUGUGUGCUGGCCUGAGUGAGGGGCAAAGUUCAGGCACUUGGCGGAAGGAGAGAAGCACAAAAUCAAGGUUCUCUCCUACACUACCUACACCACAGGGAUUCAGCCAUGAAAAACAACAACUAACACCCUACGCCCGUGGAGCUUUCAGCUAGUGGGAGAGCUAGUCAAAUGCUUGAGUUCCAACCUGUAGACCCUCCCAGACAGCAAAUCAUGAAGCUGCUUAGAAAAGAAAACUGAAAGUUAAGAAUGGAGAAGAAAUCACUGAGUUUGGUUCAAAACAUUCCAGCUCUUAACGACAAUGUGUGACAACAUCCCAGAAACAUGACACAGUGGGUAAAGGUGACUUGGAGUGAGGACAAACCAGC
rnacentral:lncRNA from 1 species